rnacentral:rRNA from 1 species
GUGUGACUCGUCACACUAUCAUUAACUGAAUCCAUAGGUUAAUGAGGCGAACCGGGGGAACUGAAACAUCUAAGUACCCCGAGGAAAAGAAAUCAACCGAGAUUCCCCCAGUAGCGGCGAGCGAACGGGGAGGAGCCCAGAGCCUGAAUCAGCAUGUGUGUUAGUGGAAGCGUCUGGAAAGGCGCGCGAUACAGGGUGACAGCCCCGUACACAAAAGCGCAUGUGCUGUGAGCUCGAUGAGUAGGGCGGGACACGUGGUAUCCUGUCUGAAUAUGGGGGGACCAUCCUCCAAGGCUAAAUACUCCUGACUGACCGAUAGUGAACCAGUACCGUGAGGGAAAGGCGAAAAGAACCCCGGCGAGGGGAGUGAAAAAGAACCUGAAACCGUGUACGUACAAGCAGUGGGAGCACCCUUUGGGUGUGACUGCGUACCUUUUGUAUAAUGGGUCAG